rnacentral:rRNA from 1 species
UACGUAGGGUGCGAGCGUUGUCCGGAAUUAUUGGGCGUAAAGAGCUCGUAGGCGGUGUGUCGCGUCGGCCGUGAAAACCUGGGGCUUAACUCUGGGCGUGCGGUCGAUACGGGCAUCACUAGAGUUCGGCAGGGGAGACUGGAAUUCCUGGUGUAGCGGUGAAAUGCGCAGAUAUCAGGAGGAACACCGGUGGCGAAGGCGGGUCUCUGGACAGUUCCUGACACUGAGGCACGAAGGCCAGGGGAGCAAACGGG